rnacentral:antisense_RNA from 1 species
CCCUAUGGCGGGCGGUGCGUGGGGGUCUCGUACCCGCCGGCGUUUCUACAUCAACCUCCGGUAUUGCAACCACGCACCGUCCGCCGCUCUC